rnacentral:rRNA from 1 species
GAUAAACGCUAGCGGCAGGCUUAACACAUGCAAGUCGAGGGGCAGCAUAGAUUGUAGCAAUACAAUUGGUGGCGACCGGCGCACGGGUGCGUAACGCGUAUGCAACCUACCCGUCACAGGGGGAUAAUCCGGAGAAAUCUGGUCUAAUACCCCAUAACAUAUGGAUCGGCAUCGGUUCAUGUUGAAAUUUUCGGAGAUGACGGAUGGGCAUGCGUAGCAUUAGCUUGUUGGUGAGGUAACGGCUCACCAAGGCGACGAUGCUUAGGGGGACUGAGAGGUUUUCCCCCCACACGGGUACUGAGACACGGACCAGACUCCUACGGGAGGCAGCAGUGAGGAAUAUUGGUCAAUGGGCGCAAGCCUGAACCAGCCAUGCCGCGUGCAGGAUGACGGCUCUAUGAGUUGUAAACUGCUUUUGUACGAGGGUAAAGUGGGUUACGUGUAACCUUUUGGAAGUAUCGUACGAAUAAGGAUCGGCUAACUCCGUGCCAGCAGCCGCCGUAA